CAUGAUCUCUGUCCUUCUGUCUGUGCUGGCUCUGGUAGAGCCAUGGUCCACACCUUCUUCACCCUGUUCUACCUUGGACUGCAUCUGAGUCAUGGAAUCUGGGCACAGGAUGAGCAGGGCUGAGAGAGCCACUGGUACAUGGAGAACUGGGAAGUUGAGUUUGGCAGCAGGACUCUGUUACUGUAGAGCCAGGUGACCAUCAGUUCCAACAAACUCAUUGCCAGGCAACUGAAGAUUAGUCUCAGAGAUCCACAUCAAGUGAAUCUUAUUUCUCCCCAUGAAUAUUUAUUAUUUGUGUGUUUACUUAUAAAAGUAAUUACCAAGUAGCAUUUAUUAAAAUCUGACCAUGUUUUAGGCACUAUUUUAAGCCCAUUACAUGGAAAUACACCAUUUAAUCUCUGUGUCAUUCCUGUGAGACACUCAGCACUUACUCUUUUGGUUUUAAAAUAUGUUUCAAGAUAGAGUCUCACUAUGUAGCUCAGGUUGACACUUUUUUGGGGUGCACAGGAGUGAAUAAGAUAAAGUACUAUCUACCAAGUAUGGAGCUUGAAUUGUAAUUAUAGGGAGACGGACCAUAAGAGAAAUAGCGAUGGCUUGACAAAUAAGUUUGAUGUUGUUAUGUGCUAUGAAGAAAAACAUGGUGGCGAAAGAUGAUUCCCAGGUGUGAGGAUGUGCAUGUAGAAAAAGGGAACCACAGAAAUCUUCCCUGAAGGGCUGACUAAUUCUUUUAACAGUUGAAGAAGAUGUAGCAGCAAGCCACACAGGGAGUUAAGGGAGGACUGAGGAUGUAUCUCAGUGGUGGAGUGCUUGCUUAGUAUGCAUGAAGCUGUGGUUUCAAAAGAAAAAAAAAGGGUAUCUAGAGAAAAACAUUCCAGGUAGAGGAAACAGUAAAUGCAAAGGCCAUGAGGUAGAGCUGUGCCCUGCUCAUAGACUCAGGAAUAUGGGUACCUGUUCCUGAGAAGACCCCACUUGGGUUCUCCUUUGACCUUGCCCUGCUCCAAAGGGAAGGAAGUCCAUACGACCAAGGGCACGUGCCCUAUCCUCUUACUCGUGAACCCCACCAGUCACCCCAGGACUCCCUGUCUAGAUGCCUCAGAUAGCAUCAUCACAGCCGUCAAAAAACUAAAAGAAGCUAGGUGUGGUGGCACAUGCCUGUAAUCUCAGCAUUCAGGAGGCAGAGAAGGAGGAUCACAAGUUUGAGACCAACCAGGGCUGCAUGACAAAUACUAAGGGCUGGGGAUGUAGCUCAGUGGUACAGUCACUGCACAAUUUAGAUGCUGGGGAAAUGAGAAGAACACAGAGAAGGAGCAUCCAGGGAAAUAGGAGAUGAGCCAAGAGCACAUGGAGUCCAGGAACAAAACAAAGGCAGUGUUGCAUGGAGGACUGAUCUAUUGUGUCAAAUACUACUGAUGAAGGCAGGUUCUACCUUUAUUCCCAUUUUAUAGACAAAGAGACUGAGCACAGAGAGGAAAGUCCUUGACUAAGGUCUCAGACAUAGGAAGUGGCAGAAUGAGGAUUCAAACCUGGGAAGGGUGUCUCCAGUUCCCAAGAGCUGAUCCACUGCUCAGAACAAAGGAGAUUUCUUGACAUCCAG